AGGCCAUCAUAUAGGCCUGAGUAUUCUCAAGAAUAUGUCCCUGCAGGAUGCAGAAAAGGUGUUCAUCUCUGGACCAGUUUAUCAUCAGAGUGAAGUGGAGGAGUUUGAUAGGGGGAUAUCGAAACAAUUGCGCCCAGAAGGGAGACCAUUCUAGAUGAAGUUGUAUGGAGGAUAUGAAGGGGUGAUGGAGGUCGAUAUGGAGGGGCGAUUGUUAAAUAAACAAUGUAUAUCUUGA